GACAGAGGAUGCAAGCGUUAUCCGGAAUGAUUGGGCGUAAAGCGUCUGUAGGUGGCUUUUUAAGUCCGCCGUCAAAUCCCAGGGCUCAACCCUGGACAGGCGGUGGAAACUACCAAGCUGGAGUGACGGUAGGGGCAGAGGGAAUUUCCGGUGGAGCGGUGAAAUGCGUGAGAGAGUCGGAAAAGAACACCAAGGCGAAG
rnacentral:rRNA from 1 species